rnacentral:tRNA from 2 species
GCUCCCUUCGUCUAGCGGCCUAGGACACCGCCCUCUCACGGCGUAAACAGGGGUUCGAGUCCCCUAGGGAGCGCCA